rnacentral:rRNA from 1 species
UGGGGAAUAUUGCACAAUGGGCGCAAGCCUGAUGCAGCAACGCCGCGUGAGGGACGACGGCCUUCGGGUUGUAAACCUCUUUUAGUAGGGAAGAAGCGAAAGUGACGGUACCUGCAGAAAAAGCACCGGCUAACUACGUGCCAGCAGCCGCGGUAAUACGUAGGGUGCAAGCGUUGUCCGGAAUUAUUGGGCGUAAAGAGCUCGUAGGCGGUUUGUCGCGUCUGCUGUGAAAACCCGAGGCUCAACCUCGGGCCUGCAGUGGGUACGGGCAGACUAGAGUGCGGUAGGGGAGAAUGGAAUUCCUGGUGUAGCGGUGGAAUGCGCAGAUAUCAGGAGGAACACCGAUGGCGAAGGCAGUUCUCUGGGCCGUAACUGACGCUGAGGAGCGAAAGCGUGGGGAGCGAACAGGAUUAGAUACCCUGGUAGUCCACGCCGUAAACGUUGGGCGCUAGAUGUGGGGACCAUUCCACGGUUUCCGUGUCGCAGCUAACGCAUUAAGCGCCCCGCCUGGGGAGUACGGCCGCAAGGCU